GCCUGGGUGGCUCAGUUGGUUGAGCAUCUGACUUCAGCUCAGGUCAUGAUCUCACGGCUCAUGGGUUCGAGCCCCACGUCGGGCU
rnacentral:tRNA from 1 species